UACAUAUACUGGACAAACGGAUUCCAUUGGCUUCAAUAACACGUUUGUUGUCUAUAAUGGGAGGUGGCCACCACCGCCAUUUUGACCGUGUCACAGGUUCCGUCCAGCCCAGACAAUUCCAUAAAAGGGAAGAGAGGAGGCGCUGAGGGUGUGGCUGUAAGGCUGGGCUCGAGUGACGACACCCAGGCGAACUAGCUACGAGCUAACCUGAAGCUAACCCUGGCUAACCCAAAGCUAAAGCGGAGGUGGGAGCCGAGCUAACGGAUGUAGCCACCUAGCUUCAACCCAACCGGAGCUAACUGGAACACCCAUCGACCUGAACCUUACACGGAGUUUAGGUGGAGGUUUUCUGCGCCUGUUCGUGAGAAGUACCAGUAUUAAAAAAGUUUUAAAUCGAUCUGUUUAAAUGUCACCAUGGCAGCCUGUGUGUCUCCAACAUCAGCUACACAAAGCAGCAAGUCCAUUUGGAUAAUUGGAGACAGCUGAGUGAGGCGUGGUGCCCAGAGAGCUGCAGAGACAACCUUGGCCUCCCUGACGUCUGUGUCUCCUGGUUUGGUUGGGGCGGACCAUCGACAUACAUACAUACAUGUGCCGACACUUUGCGCCCUGUUUUAUAAAAUGUAGUGUUAAAAAUAAAUGUUUUUGCUCAA